GAAGUGCGAUAAGCAAUGCGAAUUGCAGAACCGUGAGUCAUCAGAUUUUUGAACGCAACUGGCGCUAGGUGGCUAUCCACCCAGCAUGCUUGUUUCAGUGUCUCUUUAUCUCAUUACUUAAAUCAUAUUGCGAGAGAUACCCUUCUCUUGCUAAACAUGAAAGCACUCUGUACUCUGCAAGCGACUUCGAUAUGAUGUCGCACUCAAUGCAGCAGUCACAUUCUUGUAAUGUGAACUCAUUGAGAGUUGAGACAGUGCAGUUAGCUGCUAGUGCUUAGACACUUAAACUUUCUUGUAUCUGAAAUCAAGCAGGAUUACCCGCUGAACUUAA
rnacentral:misc_RNA from 1 species